ensembl:lncRNA
CCUGCAGGAGCAGUUUGACCCUCUCGAUGGGCGCGACGGCUGUUUUGGAGAUAGCCGCAGCCACUCCACCUGCCAGGAAAUCCUUCAAAAAGCUGAUGACCGCCUCAGACAUGGUGCCGGUGCGUGCGUGCGUGUCUGCCUGUCUGUCUGCCUGUCUGUCUGUCUGUCUGUCUUGCGCGCACUUACAACUCUCGACACGCCGCUGGACCCUCAAAGUGGACGAGCACGCGGGCCUGUGCGUGCCUCAUAUAGCCGUGUACCUAUCGCGAGAAGAGCGGGUGAUGGACGCGCGCGGCAUCGAACGAAAAGUGAAGCGUAAAUAAAUGUCCCGGGUCAGAGGGCGCGAGGCAGACGCCAUGCAUGAUAUUGAGGGACGUUUAAAGGACAAAAGAGCCUACUCUGCUCUGAUUGGUCAGAUAUCCCAGGCUGUUGUGAUGACAGUGCGUGUUGGAAAGGAAACGCCCACUACCGUAUACGAGUUGACCAUGUCGGUUUUACCUGAUCAGUUUGAGCCAGAGUCCGAUAACGAUGCACCGGAAGAUCAACCCGAA